CAUAAUAAAAUAUGAAGGCUGUACGCGGCUGUGCUCUCGGGCCAGUUUUGGCGGAGGCUGAAUUAUUUAUUACCCUUGUCUUUUGCGCACUUGUUGUUUCCUGGGCGGGUUCGCCCGCCACCAGGACCACAUCAUAAACCUUUUUUAUGCAGUUGCAAUCAGCGUCAGUAUAACAAAUGUAAAUCAUUA
rnacentral:misc_RNA from 1 species